rnacentral:misc_RNA from 1 species
AUUUGUUGAUGCUAGUUAUGUGCAAUCUGUGCUGAUGGUGAUGAUGAUGCUAGUUUUAAGGUUUUGAUGACAAAUGCCUGUGGGGAUUGGAAGUAUAAAUGUAUACUUGGGAAAGAUGUUCAACAAGUGAAACUUACUUCAUUGCUUCUUGCUAGUUUUAGGAUAUCUUUUCCUUUCCAGUUUUUCUCUUGUGCUCAUGCAUGAGCACGCGCUCGUGUGUGUGUGUGGUUGGGUGUGAGGGCCAGUGAAGAACUUGGGCAAUCAAGACACUUCCCUAACAAUCAUUUUGAGUUUGUGGCUACGCCUUACUUUUGAAUUAAAUUAUUUCAAACCUCUUGAAAGAAUAUAUGUUCUGGACUGGGAACAAAAACAAAGGAAAUUGCUGUAGGUUGUGGGGAUAUUAUUACGUGUUUCACUGUUAAACUUGGAAUUGAUACUAAAUACUGUAUUCUGGACUAGCUGUAAUUUCACUAGUUGGCUUAUUGACUUGUCAACACAUAGAAGUAAAAUCUGUAGCUUUUUCUUCUCAAGGUACUGGUGAAAAAUGUGCUCACUGAAGGUAAGCUUAGAGAUUUAGAUGAAGGUUUUGGUUAAGUAACAAAGGAUCAGCAUGCUCUUAGACCGGCCCUUUAUGGUUCCUUUCUUGUCUGGUCCACCUGUCUUGAAAGUUUGCUUUCUUGAUGUUUAGCUGAUUUAGUUUGUUG